AGUGAACGCUGGCGGUAGGCCUAACACAUGCGAGUCGAACGGCAGCACAGUAAGAGCUUGCUCUUACGGGUGGCGAGUGGCGGACGGGUGAGGAAUACAUCGGAAUCUACUUUUUCGUGGGGGAUAACGUAGGGAAACUUACGCUAAUACCGCAUACGACCUACGGGUGAAAGCAGGGGAUCUUCGGACCUUGCGCGAUUGAAUGAGCCGAUGUCGGAUUAGCUAGUUGGCGGGGUAAAGGCCCACCAAGGCGACGAUCCGUAGCUGGUCUGAGAGGAUGAUCAGCCACACUGGAACUGAGACACGGUCCAGACUCCUACGGGAGGCAGCAGUGGGGAAUAUUGGACAAUGGGCGCAAGUCUGAUCCAGCCAUACCGCGUGGGUGAAGAAGGCCUUCGGGUUGUAAAGCCCUUUUGUUGGGAAAGAAAAGCAGCAGGUUAAUACCCCGCUGUUCUGACGGUACCCAAAGAAUAAGCACCGGCUAACUUCGUG
rnacentral:rRNA from 1 species